GCCCAUAUUCCUACGGGAAGCAGCAGUAGGGAAUCUUCCACAAUGGGCGAAAGCCUGAUGGAGCAAUGCCACGUGAAUGAUGAAGGCCUUUUUGGUCGUAAAGUUCUUUUAGGGGGGAAAACUCUGAUGGUACCCCCUCAAUAAGUGACAGCAAACUAUGUGCCAGCAGCUGCGGUAAUACAUAGGUCGCGAGCGUUAUUCGGAUUUAUUGGGCGUAAAGCAAGCGCAGGCGGAUGGAUAAGUUCUGUGUUAAAAGCAGCUGCUCAACAGUUGUUUGCGCCGAAUACUAUCCAUCUAGAAUACGGUAGGAAGUUUUGGAAUUGAAUAUGGAGCGGUGGAAUGUGUAGAUAUAUUCAAGAACACCAGAGGCGAAGGCGAAAACUUAGGCCGCUAUUGACGCUUAGGCUUGAAAGUGUGGGGAGCAAAUGGGAUUAGAUACCCCAGUAGUCCACACCGUAAACGAUGGGUAUUAAAUGUUGGGGCUGGUGCCUCAGCGUUGUAGCUUACGUGUUAAAUACCCCGCCUGGGUAGUACAUAUGCAAAUAUGAAACUCAAAGGAAUUGACGGGGACCUGAACAAGUGGUGGAACAUGUUGCUUAAUUCGAUAAUACACGAAAAACCUUACCAAGAUUUGACAUCCCUCGCGAAGCUUUAGAAAUAAAGUAGAGGUUAUCGAGGUGACAGGUGGUGCAUGGUUGUCGUCAGCUCGUGUCAUGAGAUGUUGGGUUAAGUCCCGCAACGAGCGCAACCCUACUCUCUAGUUGAUUGUUUAGAGAGACUGAACAGUAAUGUAUAGGAAGGUCGGGAUCACGUCAAAUCAUCAUGCCCCUUAUGUCUUGGGCCGCAAACGUGUUACAAUGGCGAGUACAACGUGUCGCAAACCAGCGAUGGUAAGCUAAUCACUGAAAACUCGUCUCAGUCCGGAUAAAAGGCUGCAAUUCGCCUUUUUGAAGUUGGAAUCACUAGUAAUCCCGUGUCAGCUAUAUCGGGGUGAAUACGUUCCCAGGUCUUGUACAC
rnacentral:rRNA from 1 species